GACGAACGCUGGCGGCGUGCUUAACAUAUGCAAGUCGAGCGGUAAGGCCCUUUCGGGGGUACACGAGCGGCGAACGGGUGAGUAACACGUGGGUGACCUGCCCUCAGCUCUGGGAUAAGCCUGGGAAACCGGGUCUAAUACUGGAUAUGACUCCAUGACGCAUGUUGUGGGGUGGAAAGCCUUGUGCGGCUGAGGAUGGGCCCGCGGCCUAUCAGCUUGUUGGUGGGGUGAGGCCUACCAAGGCGACGACGGGUAGCCGGCCUGAGAGGGCGACCGGCCACACUGGGACUGAGACACGGCCCAGACUCCUACGGGAGGCAGCAGUGGGGAAUCUUGCGCAAUGGGCGAAAGCCUGACGCAGCGACGCCGCGUGAGGGAUGAC
rnacentral:rRNA from 1 species